ensembl:lincRNA
CAGAGGAAUGUUUAAGGCUUUAAAUACAUUGCGGAAGUUGUGCGAAAUCUCAGUUAACUUAAACAUUCCGUGUGAGAAACGACGCUGGAAACGAUGAUGUCAUUGCACGCUUCCAAAGACGUAACGUGAGUAGAGAGUGACGUCAUCGCGUAGCGGGCCAGGUAAACAGGACGUCCGCUGACCUCGUUGCUGUCUUAUCGGGAUUUUGUUGCUUUUUCCCUUCUGCACGCCGGCAUUUUGCAUGCGGUGCGUCAGGUCCACCUUGGUCGGAAAGCUUUGUCUGCGGAUGAGCGGCGUGCAAGGAUUCCUUGGCCAAGUGUACUGCAGCCACCACUGGCCAUUGUGCCCGCAUGUGAUGAAACCCCUGGUGUCGUCGAAGGAGACCACCGUCGUUCGAGCUUUGAGUCGCGGAGGGUGACCUUCAUUGCAGAAAAUAGUCCAACUGCAAUUAUAAAUGCGUAUCGAUCGACAGGGCUACUUCUCCGCUUCCAUUCAAAACCAAAAUCGUCUCUCGAGGUUGAUUCCGAAGCUCUUGGAUUUGAUGUUCAUCUGACUGAUGACUUAAUGAGACGAAGAAGAUAUGAGGGAGGCACGGCCAGAUGCCGGUCCCUCACACCCAUCUUCUGGCCUUUUACACUCCCCUGGCCCUCGAGUUCCUCUGUCAGCGACCCUUGCAAAUCCUAUGCACAGUCAUAUACCAGGCAGCAGGGGUGAGCGGAGCGACCAUAUUCCCUGUCAAGCUUCAUUAGAACAAACGAAUACGUGUUUGUCCACAGAAGUUGGGCAUGAUAAUGGAAGCAAAGCAGAGAGGGAGGAAGAGAAUAUUGAUGAAGAAGGUGAUGAGAUUGAUAAAGAUAGUGAGAGCAAAAACUUGGAUAAAGACCAUGCAGCUGAAAUGCAUCUCCCAGACUCGUAUUUGGCAACUCUGCAAUCCGCGAUACAAAAUGAAGAUAGCAGUAUUAUUGUGCAAGAAGAAGUAGCCAGGGAAAGCCAGGUGAGUACAGAUAGCGCAGAGAGGCAGGAAGAAACUUCGGUGAAUCGGGUUCAGAUUGAAGAAGAGGAAGAGGAUGGAGAGGGGAUCGACGUGGAAAUUGAGGAGCUGUGGCAGGCAAGGCACGUGGAGGAAGAUAUGAGCUCAUCUGUCGAAGAGACUGCUGAUGAAGAAUUCCACACAGCGUCGAGCAGUGAAGGUUCGCAGAGAGAAGGCUCGGAAACCGAUGGUGACCUUCUGGCUGUACUCAAUGAUGUCUAUACUGUUGGCAUCGAGUCAGACCUGGAUGCACUUAUUGUGGAUGUUUGGGAUCUUGCUGCAGAAGAACGACAAGGGGAUGAACAAGAGCGAGAGGAUGCAACAUCAGAGCCUUUACUUCACACGUCACCUGCUCCUCGUCCCCCCUGUGAAGAUUCGAGCAGCACACAGCCUGUUGCAGCAGGCUCAGAUGCUCCGCGUCAUCUGUCAGCGAGCACUUUUGUGUCUUCACUAGCUGAGUCGCACCCUAUACUCUUUCCUCGGUCCACAGACAGCCCCUCAGCAGUUUCUGACACCUUGGCGACUACGGAAUCUGAAACAACACCCCCAUUAACCACCACAGAAGAAGCCAUAGUUGGUCCUGCAACACAUGAAGUCACUGAUUCGGCCUCUCAAGCUCCAAUCCUUCCACCCUGCUGUCCUCAGCUCGGGCAGUCUUGCUGUUACGCUUCGCGCUGUGCGUGUAUUGCAUGCAAUCCCGGCUACCAUCCACGGUCCUGCCACCAUUACAGUGGGCGGGUCAACUGUGGGCCAUCUCAUCGACCUCGUGGCGGGGCCGGAGAAGGAGGGGCUAGUGGCCGUCACUUAUGUCACCAUCUCCAUCACCAUCACCAUCACCACCACAUGGCCCAUCACCAGCAUUACUCACGUCCUGCCUCAGCUGCUGCUGCUCCAACUGUAAAUCAUUCCCCGCAACCAGUCACUGGUUGGCCACCAACCUUGGCAGGUUCAGUCACUCUUGGUUGUCAUGGUGCUCCUCUGAGAACCAGCUCAACAUUCAUGUGUCCGCUUGAGGGGCCACAGAGCUUUCCACAGGAUAUCUCAAAAAGUUAUGGAGGGAUCCGGAUGAAAUGUUAUGGGCAGGUUCGGUGUGUGACAAGGAUGAACUCAUUAGAUGUUGGUGAAGAUCCAGAUCUGGAUCCGACUUCAUGUGCUGACCUGUCGCGCCUUACCUGGUCUGCAUUUGCCAUGCUUUGCCUGCCUUUGCCUUGCCUCCAUACCUGCCCAUGCCUUUGUUUGCAUUGUCACAACCUUCAUCAUUUGCUCUAG